CAGAGGAAGGUGUCAGGCUAGGGGUCCUCACAGAGGAAGGUGUCAGGCUAGGGGUCCUCACAGAGGAUGGAGAGGGACCAGAGGAAGGUGUCAAGCUAGGGGUCCUCACAGAGGAUGAAGAGGGACCAGAGGAAGGUGUCAAGCUAGGGGUCCUCACAGAGGAUGGAG